CUGACUUCUGAAGAGUAGGGGGUGUGGAUUUCUACUAGGAGUAACCACUGGGAAGGAAGUAAUGUUCAUUAAGUGUGCAGGCAGUGCAGGACUAAGCAUGCUCAGUGAAAAAGCUUUUCUCCUUUGCCUGUCAAGCUCUACGUUUGAACUCAUUCCAGAACGCCGGAUUUACUUUUCAUGAAGAAACAGUACCUGGCUGGAGUGCACUUUUCUUUCCCUCCUUAGUCACCGGAAGAUUGGAAACACUGUUCUUUUGAUGAUCACUCUCAGUAAUGCAGUGCGCCUGCAUGCAAGUGCGAAUCUUGCAGUGGAGAAGGAAGACAAACUUUGCUACCUGUGAAAUGAAGACUUCUUAGGUAGCAGUGGAAAUGAAAGCAAUUCUAUUUAUCAUAUUGUUCACAGACUCCACAAAUGAUUAACACGAUGACUUCAGUGGGAAUUGCUCUCAGAAAGAGAAAAAUCAUCUGGAUUCUUCUGAAGGUAAGAGUCAAGGACAGAAGUCUUCAUGAAAGACCUACCCAUGACACAAGAAGAGGAUCUCGCCUGCUGUUCUUCUUCAGAGACUCCAUCCCACAUUGAG